rnacentral:rRNA from 1 species
AUUGAACGCUGGCGGAAUGCUUUACACAUGCAAGUCGAACGGUAGAGGGGGCAACCCCUCGAGAGUGGCGAACGGGUGAGUAAUAUAUCGGAACGUGCCCAGUCGUGGGGGAUAAAGUAGCGAAAGUUACGCUAAUACCCCAUACGACCUAAGGAUGAAAGCCAGGGAUAGCAAGACCGCGCGCGACUGGAGCGGCCGAUAACAGAUGAGGUAGUUGGUGGGGUAAAGGGCCACCAAGCCAACGAUCUGUAGCUGGUUUGAGAGGACGGCCAGCCACACUGGAACUGAGACACGGUCCAAACUCCUACGGGAGGCAGCAGUGGGGAAUUUUGGACAAAGGACGCAAGUCUGAUCCAGCCAUUCCGCGGGCAGGAUGAAGGCCCGCGGGUUGUAAACUGCUUUUGUACUGAACGAAAAGGUCUCUCUGAAUACGGGGGACUCAUGACGGUACCGUAAGAAUAAGCACCGGCUAACUACGUGCCAGCCGCCGCAGUAA